CCUACGUGAGGCAGCAGUGGGGAAUAUUGCACAAUGGGGGAAACCCUGAUGCAGCGACGCCGCGUGCGUGAAGAAGUAAUUCGUUAUGUAAAGCUCUAUCAGCAGGGAAGAAAAUGACGGUACCUGAGUAAGAAGCCCCGGCUAACUACGUGCCCGCAGCCGCGGUAAUAAGUAGGGGGCAAGCGUUAUCCGGAUUUACUGGGUGUAAAGGGAGCGUAGACGGCAGUGCAAGUCUGGAGUGAAAGGCGGGGGCUCAACCCCCGGACUGCUCUGGAAACUGUACGGCUGGAGUGCAGGAGAGGUAAGUGGAAUUCCUAGUGUAGCGGUGAAAUGCGUAGAUAUUAGGAGGAACACCAGUGGCGAAGGCGGCUUACUGGACUGUAACUGACGUUGAGGCUCGAAAGCGUGGGGAGCAAACAGGAUUAGAUACCCGUGUAGUC
rnacentral:rRNA from 1 species